rnacentral:rRNA from 1 species
UAGGGAAUCUUCGGCAAUGGGGGCAACCCUGACCGAGCAACGCCGCGUGAGUGAAGAAGGUUUUCGGAUCGUAAAGCUCUGUUGUAAGAGAAGAACGUGUGUGAGAGUGGAAAGUUCACACAGUGACGGUAACUUACCAGAAAGGGACGGCUAACUACGUGCCAGCAGCCGCGGUAAUACGUAGGUCCCGAGCGUUGUCCGGAUUUAUUGGGCGUAAAGCGAGCGCAGGCGGUUUAAUAAGUCUGAUGUUAAAGGCAGUGGCUUAACCAUUGUUCGCUUUGGAAACUGUUAAACUUGAGUGCAGAAGGGGAGAGUGGAAUUCCAUGUGUAGCGGUGAAAUGCGUAGAUAUAUGGAGGAACACCGGUGGCGAAAGCGGCUCUCUGGUCUGUAACUGACGCUGAGGCUCGAAAGCGUGGGGAGCAAACAGG